CCGGUUGAUCCUGCCAGAGGUUACUGCUAUUGGGGUCCGAUUAAGCCAUGCGAGUCGAGAGGGGUAAAGCCCUCGGCAUACUGCUCAGUAACACGCGGAUAAUCUACCCUUAGGACUGGGAUAACCCCGGGAAACUGGGACUAAUACCAGAUAAAUCAUAGAUACUGGAAUGCUCUUUGGUUGAAAGUUCAGGCGCCUAAGGAUGAGUUUGCGGCCUAUCAGGUAGUAGUGGGUGUAACGUACCUACUAGCCUACGACGGGUAAGGGUUGUGAGAGCAAGAUCCCUGAGAUGGAUUCUGAGACAUGAAUCCAGGCCCUACGGGGUGCAGCAGGCGCGAAAACUUUACACUGCGGGCAACCGCGAUAAGGGGACCCCGAGUGCCAGUACCUAGUGCUGGCUGUCCCGCUGUCCAAACAACAGUGGUUAGCAAGGGCCGGGCAAGACCGGUGCCAGCCGCCGCGGUAACACCGGCGGCCCGAGUGGUAGCCGUUAUUAUUGGGUUUAAAGGGUCCGUAGCCGGCUUAUUAAGUCUCUUGGGAAAUCUGGCGGCUUAAUCGUCAGGCGUCCAAGAGAUACUGAUAGGCUUGGGACCGGGAGAGGUGGGAGGUACUCCAGGGGUAGGGGUGAAAUCUUGUAAUCCUUGGGGGACCACCGAUGGCGAAGGCAUCCCACCAGAACGGGUCCGACGGUGAGGGACGAAAGCUGGGGGCACGAACCGGAUUAGAUACCCGGGUAGUCCCAGCUGUAAACGAUGCUCGCUAGGUGUCAGUUGUGGUGAGACCACAUCUGGUGCCGUAGUGAAAACUUGAAGCGAGUCACCUGGGAAGUACGGUCGCAAGGCUGAAACUUAAAGGAAUUGGCGGGGGAGCACUACAACGGGUGGAGCCUGCGGUUCAAUUGGAUUCAACGCCGGG
rnacentral:rRNA from 1 species